AUGAACGCUGGCGGCGUGCUUAACACAUGCAAGUCGAACGGUGAAGCAGAGCUUGCUCUGUGGAUCAGUGGCGAACGGGUGAGUAAUACGUGAGCAAUCUGCCCCUGACUCUGGGAUAAGCGCUGGAAACGGUGUCUAAUACUGGAUAAGAGCCAUGGCCGCAUGGUCUGUGGUUGGAAAGAUUUUUCGGUUGGGGAUGAGCUCACGGCCUAUCAGCUUGUUGGUGAGGUAAUGGCUCACCAAGGCGUCGACGGGUAGCCGGCCUGAGAGGGUGACCGGCCACACUGGGACUGAGACACGGCCCAGACUCCUACGGGAGGCAGCAGUGGGGAAUAUUGCACAAUGGGCGGAAGCCUGAUGCAGCAACGCCGCGUGAGGGAUGACGGCCUUCGGGUUGUAAACCUCUUUUAGCAGGGAAGAAGCUUUUGUGACGGUACCUGCAGAAAAAGCGCCGGCUAACUACGUGCCAGCAGCCGCGGUAAUACGUAGGGCGCAAGCGUUAUCCGGAAUUAUUGGGCGUAAAGAGCUCGUAGGCGGUUUGUCGCGUCUGCUGUGAAAUCCCGAGGCUCAACCUCGGGCCUGCAGUGGGUACGGGCAGACUAGAGUGCGGUAGGGGAGAUUGGAAUUCCUGGUGUAGCGGUGGAAUGCGCAGAUAUCAGGAGGAACACCGAUGGCGAAGGCAGAUCUCUGGGCCGUAACUGACGCUGAGGAGCGAAAGGGUGGGGAGCAAACAGGCUUAGAUACCCUGGUAGUCCACCCCGUAAACGUUGGGAACUAGUUGUGGGGUCCAUUCCACGGAUUCCGUGACGCAGCUAACGCAUUAAGUUCCCCGCCUGGGGAGUACGGCCGCAAGGCUAAAACUCAAAGGAAUUGACGGGGACCCGCACAAGCGGCGGAGCAUGCGGAUUAAUUCGAUGCAACGCGAAGAACCUUACCAAGGCUUGACAUACACCAGAACACCCUGGAAACAGGGGACUCUUUGGACACUGGUGAACAGGUGGUGCAUGGUUGUCGUCAGCUCGUGUCGUGAGAUGUUGGGUUAAGUCCCGCAACGAGCGCAACCCUCGUUCUAUGUUGCCAGCACGUAAUGGUGGGAACUCAUGGGAUACUGCCGGGGUCAACUCGGAGGAAGGUGGGGAUGACGUCAAAUCAUCAUGCCCCUUAUGUCUUGGGCUUCACGCAUGCUACAAUGGCCGGUACAAAGGGCUGCGAUACCGUAAGGUGGAGCGAAUCCCAAAAAGCCGGUCCCAGUUCGGAUUGAGGUCUGCAACUCGACCUCAUGAAGUCGGAGUCGCUAGUAAUCGCAGAUCAGCAACGCUGCGGUGAAUACGUUCCCGGGUCUUGUACACACCGC
rnacentral:rRNA from 1 species